rnacentral:rRNA from 1 species
GACGAACGGUGGGCGUGCUAAUACAUGCAAGUCGAGCGCGGGAAGCAGACUGAAGCCUUCGGGCGGACGUCUGUGGAACGAGCGGCGGAUGGGUGAGUAACACGUGGGCAACCUGCCUGUAAGCUCGGGAUAACUAGCGGAAACGCUAGCUAAUACCGAAUAACGCUGCGCACCGCAUGGCGCGCAGAUGAAAGGCGGCGCAAGCUGCCACUUACAGAUGGGCCCGCGGCGCAUUAGCUAGUUGGUGGGGUAACGGCCUACCAAGGCGACGAUGCGUAGCCGACCUGAGAGGGUGAUCGGCCACACUGGGACUGAGACACGGCCCAGACUCCUACGGGAGGCAGCAGUAGGGAAUAUUCCGCAAUGGGCGAAAGCCUGACGGAGCGACGCCGCGUGAGCGAUGAAGGUCUUCGGAUCGUAAAGCUCUGUUGUUAGGGAAGAACAAGUACCGGAGUAACUGCCGGUACCUUGACGGUACCUAACCAGAAAGCCCCGGCUAACUACGUGCCAGCAGCCGCGGUAAUACGUAGGGGGCGAGCGUUGUCCGGAAUUAUUGGGCGUAAAGGGCGCGUAGGCGGUCUCUUAAGUCUGAUGUGAAAGCCCCCGGCUUAACCGGGGAGGGUCAUUGGAAACUGGGAGACUUGAGUGCAGGAGAGGGAAGCGGAAUUCCAUGUGUAGCGGUGAAAUGCGUAGAGAUAUGGAGGAACACCAGUGGCGAAGGCGGCUUCCUGGCCUGUAACUGACGCUGAGGCGCG